UAGGGAAUCUUCCACAAUGGGCGAAAGCCUGAUGGAGCAACGCCGCGUGUGUGAUGAAGGGUUUCGGCUCGUAAAACACUGUUGUAAGAGAAGAAUGACAUUGAGAGUAACUGUUCAAUGUGUGACGGUAUCUUACCAGAAAGGAACGGCUUAAUACGUGCCAC
rnacentral:rRNA from 1 species